UGGGGAAUUUUGGACAAUGGGGGAAACCCUGAUCCAGCCAUCCCGCGUGUGCGAUGAAGGCCUUCGGGUUGUAAAGCACUUUUGGCAGGAAAGAAACGUCAUGGGUUAAUACCCCGUGAAACUGACGGUACCUGCAGAAAAAGCACCGGCUAACUACGUGCCAGCAGCCGCGGUAAUACGUAGGGUGCAAGCGUUAAUCGGAAUUACUGGGCGUAAAGCGUGCGCAGGCGGUUCGGAAAGAAAGAUGUGAAAUCCCAGAGCUCAACUUUGGAACUGCAUUUUUAACUACCGGGCUAGAGUGUGUCAGAGGGAGGUGGAAUUCCGCGUGUAGCAGUGAAAUGCGUAGAUAUGCGGAGGAACACCGAUGGCGAAGGCAGCCUCCUGGGAUAACACUGACGCUCAUGCACGAAAGCGUGGGGAGCAAACAGG
rnacentral:rRNA from 1 species